rnacentral:rRNA from 1 species
GUGCCAGCAGCCGCGGUAAUACGUAGGGGGCGAGCGUUGUCCGGAGUUACUGGGCGUAAAGGGCGCGUAGGCGGUUUGGCGCGUGUGCGGUGCCAGCUCCUUGCUUAACGAGGAGAGUGCCGGGCAAACGGCCAGACUGGAGGGCCUUAGAGGGACAUAGAAUUCCGGGUGGAGUGGUGAAAUGCGUAGAGAUCCGGAGGAAUACCAAUGGCGUAGGCAGUGUCCUGGGAGGCACCUGACGCUGAGGAGCGAAAGCCAGGGGAGCGAACGGGAUUAGAUACCCCCGUAGUCC